rfam:Picea glauca, whole genome shotgun sequence.
AAUAUAAUUAAUAUAUAACUUUAUAACAGUCGACUCAGAGCUGGUUUGGACAAGGGGAAUCUGACUAUUUAAUUAAAACAAAGAAUUGUGAUGGUCCCUAUGGAUGUUGACACAAUGUGACUUUUUCCCAAUGUUCUGAAUGUUAAAGUGAAGAAAUUAGACCAAGCACGGGUAAACAACGCGAGUAAAUAUGACUCUCUUAAGGUAGAUAAAUGCCUCGUCAUCUAAUUAGUGAUGCACAUGAAUGGAUUAACUAGAUUCCCACUAUCCCUAUCUAUUUUCUAGCGAAACCACGACCAAGGAAAUGGACUUGGCAUAAUCAAUAGGGAAAGAAGACCUUGUUGAGCUUGACUCUAGUACGACUUUGUGAAAUGACUUGAGAGGUGUAGAAUAAGUGGGAUUCUUUUUUGGCACAAAUGAAAUACAACUACUUUUAACGUUAUUUUACUUAUUAUGUGGGGCGAAGAGGGGCAUUUGUUAGAAUAUGAAAGAUUGUGCUUGUUUUACCAUUGAUAAUACCCUUGUCACCCAACCAUAGGCCGAAACCACCCUCCCACCCUCCGAGCACCUU